AGCUGGAAUCGCUAGUAAUCGCGGAUCAGAAUGCCGCGGUGAAUACGUUCCCGGGUCUUGUACACACCGCCCGUCAUACCAUGGGAGCCGGAAAUGCCCGAAGUCAGUGACCCAACCGCAAGGAGGGAGCUGCCGAAGGUGGAGCUGGUAACUGGGGUGAAGUCGUAACAAGGUACC
rnacentral:rRNA from 1 species